UUUAACUAAUAUUAUAUUAUAUUAUAUAAGAUAUAAUAUGUAAAUACGACUAUAUAUCCCCCACUUCAAAUCGAUGGAUUAAGUCACUUAUUUGAUGUGAGCUGUUGGAUUCUAUUUUAAUCGUAAUGGAUAAUGGAUGAUUGGAGAUCAUUUAGUGCUUAAAAACUGGUAAAAUACCCAACUCACCCUAGAAGCUUGCAACCAGUUAGCUUUUUUAUUUCAGAUUUUUUCACUCAUAUGAAGCUUUUAAUACAAUUUUACGUCAAUGGUUUACUUUUCAUUUUUCUGCCUGUGCUUUCCUUCUUCCUUUGUAUGUGCAAUUGAUCGUCGAUCUCCCCACUCUGUCACCUGAAUCGAUUCUUCUCUCUUCUUGUCGAACCUUUGUGGGAUCGGUUCUCCUCCCCUGUCGACGGAACUCUGUCACACUUUUAAUCAUGAACAGAGUUUAUGUAUUAGUUCAUGCAACAAGACUUGGAGAAUGAAUUUGGAACUUGUGAAUUUGUGGAGGAUAUGAAGAAAUCGUUUUCUAACUAUGAAGACUUGUUAUCAGAAGAGUGUACAGAGCUUACAAUAAUUGUUCAUGGAUUUAUUUGCAUUUUGUACUAGCUCUGUAUUUGGAUGCAACUACUCUUCUCCAAAUUAUAUGUAUUCCUAACUGGACAUAUAAAAAAGUUGAGACGGUUCCAGUUCCAUUUCUAGAUUCUUGGUACUUAAUUAGCUUUUGGUACUAUCGAACAAAAUAAUGAAAAGUAUUGUGUAAUUAAAAUCUCUGUAUGAAUUAAUAAAGAUUUGGUCUUUUACACUUUCCAUUAAAGUGGAUGUACCCUUGGACUGUGAAGAACAUCAUCCAAAAUUUAUUCUUGUAAAUAUAAUCA